UAACCUUGCAGGCUGGCAGGCCCCCGGGCUGGCCUGGGUGGGUGUCUUUUGGAAAGGCUCAUCCUCAAACACAACUAGGAAU
rnacentral:pre_miRNA from 1 species